rnacentral:lncRNA from 1 species
GAGGAGGGUGCAGGAGUUGAGGCAGGAGCUGGAUCGGGAGGUGCCGAGGAUGUGCCUGUCGAGGACGUAGGAGCUACCCCUAGCUUUCACUCCUGAUUGUGCUAUUGGAGCUCAAUGUCUCGAUUGAGAAACGUGGCACUCCUAUCGAUGCAUAGGAUUUGUUUCCUACUUUUCUUUUUAUUUUUGUACUUAAGCUUAGUAAUGGUCGAGCAGAUUUUAUGGUUGGGCUAUCUUUGUACUCUUCGGCUUUGACUG